rnacentral:rRNA from 1 species
UACGUAGGUGGCAAGCGUUGUCCGGAUUUACUGGGCGUAAAGAGCGCGCAGGCGGCCAAGUCAGUCGAAUGUGAAAGCCCCCGGCUCAACUGGGGAGGGUCAUUCGAUACUGCUCGGCUCGAAGACAGGAGAGGGAAGUGGAAUUCCCGGUGUAGUGGUGAAAUGCGCAGAUAUCGGGAAGAACACCCGUGGCGAAGGCGGCACUCUGGGACGGUACUGACGCUGAGACGCGAAAGCGUGGGGAGCGAACAGG